GCCGCGGUAAUACGGAGGGGGCAAGCGUUGUUCGGAAUUAUUGGGCGUAAAGGGCAUGUAGGCGGUUUGGUAAGUUAAAGGUGAAAUACCAGGGCUUAACCCUGGGGCUGCUUUUAAUACUGCAGGACUAGAGUCCGGAAGAGGAUAGCGGAAUUCCUAGUGUAGAGGUGAAAUUCGUAGAUAUUAGGAGGAACACCAGUGGCGAAGGCGGCUGUCUGGUCCGGUACUGACGCUGAGGUGCGAAA
rnacentral:rRNA from 1 species